rnacentral:rRNA from 1 species
UACAGAGGUUGCAAGCGUUGUUCGGAUUUAUUGGGCGUAAAGGGUCCGUAGGCGGUUUGGAAAGUCUGAUGUGAAAUCCUACAGCUUAACUGUAGAACUGCAUUGGAAACUUCUAGACUAGAGUAUGAGAGGGGUUAAGGGAAUUCCCGGUGUAAGGGUGAAAUCUGCAGAGAUCGGGAGGAACACCUGUCGCGAAGGCGCUUAACUGGCUCAUUACUGACGCUCAGGGACGAAAGCUAGGGGAGCAAACGGG